GACGAACGCUGGCGGCGUGCCUAAUACAUGCAAGUCGAGCGGACGAAUCGAAAGCUUGCUUUUGAUUCGUUAGCGGCGGACGGGUGAGUAACACGUGGGCAACCUGCCCUGUAGACUGGGAUAACACCGAGAAAUCGGUGCUAAUACCGGAUAACACGAAAUGUCGCAUGACGUUUCGUUGAAAGACGGCGCUAGCUGUCGCUACAGGAUGGGCCCGCGGCGCAUUAGCUAGUUGGUGAGGUAACGGCUCACCAAGGCGACGAUGCGUAGCCGACCUGAGAGGGUGAUCGGCCACACUGGGACUGAGACACGGCCCAGACUCCUACGGGAGGCAGCAGUAGGGAAUCUUCCGCAAUGGACGAAAGUCUGACGGAGCAACGCCGCGUGAGCGAAGAAGGCCUUCGGGUCGUAAAGCUCUGUUGUUAGGGAAGAACAAGUAACGCAGUAACUGGCGUUACCGUGACGGUACCUAACGAGAAAGCCACGGCUAACUACGUG
rnacentral:rRNA from 1 species